rnacentral:rRNA from 1 species
AUGUAAUGUAAUGCCUACAAUGUUAAUGCACUGGAUCUCAUUACAACUCUGUAGUUAAGCGUGCUUGGGCUAGAGUAGUACUGGGAUGGGUGACCUUCCGGGAAGUCCUAGUGUUUUACAUG